CGCCAAAAGAUUGGGGAAAAAAAAUUCAAGAUUGAACUGAAAAAACGAGAGGAGAAGCUAUAUGGGGAGGAGAAAAAAUGGCGCGCGCAGGAGCAAAUUCAUCCAUGCCGCCCGCCAAAAGCUCCCGCGCGCAGGUAAUCCGUCGUCGCUGCCGCCUCGCUCUACAGCCGUUGCUUCGUCCGUCGCUUGGUUCUUGGAGCACGGGACGAAGCCGUCGCCUCACGAAACGACGACUGCACUCUCUCUCUUCCCUAAUUGCUGUCCACGUAGGAUUAUUCUCUUUAAUGUUAGCUCUUAGAGACGACUAAUUGAAUGCCGCUGUACAUGCCCUUAGUUAGGUAGAUGAUGAAGCAUAAUAUGAAUAUUUCAUUUAUCUUAAUUUAUAACUAGCUAAGUGCCCGUGCGUUGCAACGG
rnacentral:lncRNA from 7 species